GGGUGACGGUACUCCCAGAAGAAGGUCCGGCUAACUACGUGCCAGCAGCCGCGGUAAUACGUAGGGACCGAGCGUUGUCCGGAAUCAUUGGGCGUAAAGAGCGUGUAGGCGGCCUGGUAGGUCUCGUGUGAAAGCCCGCGGCUCAACCGCGGAUCCGCACGGGAAACCCCCAGGCUCGAGUCCGGAAGAGGAGAGUGGAAUUCCAGGUGUAGCGGUGAAAUGCGCAGAUAUCUGGAAGAACACCCGUAGCGAAGGCGGCUCUCUGGGACGGUACUGACGCUGAGACGCGAAAGCGUGGGGAGCAAACAGGAUUAGAUACCCGGGUAGUC
rnacentral:rRNA from 1 species